rnacentral:rRNA from 1 species
AUGUCCCUUGCAAAUUCAACAAGUUCAGAACCUAUUGAUGCAUUUGGGGUUUACACAGGUCUCAGGGUCAACUACAACAAAUCCAUGAUGGUUCCCAUUAAUGCACCUGCUCAUAAAAUCCAGCAACUCUCAGCUAUUUUAGGCUCCGCCGAGGGUAAUUUCCCCUUUACUUACCUUGGACUUCCUCUUGGCAUUUCUAAACCCAAGAUUGAAAAUUUUGCUCCUCUAAUGAAAAGGAUUGGAUCUAGACUUGCUGGUUCCUCCACAAUGCUUUCCUAUGGAGAGAAACUCAUUCUUGUGAAGUCUAUUUUCACUAGCCUACCUACUUUCUUCAUGGGCAGUUUAGACCUUCCCACAGGAGUUGUUGACCAAAUUAAUAAAUACUUGAGACAUUGCUUUUGGAGGAAAUAUGGGAUGGAAGGAAGAGGUACUGCUCUUAUUCCCCGAGACAAAAUUCUUGAUGUGCAAACUCAGAACAAAGCUUUGUUGAUGAAAGAUCCGCAUAAUUUUUUCAAUAGUUAUGACCUCCCUUGGGUGGACCUUAUAUGGAGCUCCUACUAUACUUCUACCCCUCCUCGUGUCAGACCUGUUCGUUCCUUCUGGUGGAAGUCUGUUCUCAAAUUAAUCUCUGAUUUUUAA